CAAUAGCGUAUAUUAAAGUUGUUGCGGUUAAAAAGCUCGUAGUCGGAUCUGUGUCUGGACGGUGCCGGACCACCCUGGCGGUCCGUCGUGUCGCGGCCGGCCGUGUCGCGGGACCACGUGUCCCGUCGGCGCGGUCGCCGUCGCGCUCGUCAGCCGUCUCGGGGUGUUAGUUACCGGCACGUCGGCCGGACGUAUUGUCGGCAGGCGGACACGUGUCUCGUGCUUCCGGCGCGCCGCGCGGCCACGCGUCGCGCGGCCGUCGGUGUUCGACGACGGCGGCCGCCUACUCCAAUCUUGCUGCGCGGUGCUCUUCACCGAGUGCCGUCGGCGGGCCGACACGUUUACUUUGAACAAAUUAGAGUGCUCAAAGCAGGCUCGAAUCUGGCGGGGCGGCUUCACGGCCGUCUCGUCAAAAGGCCCUGAAUACUGGUCGCAUGGAAUAAUGGAACAAGACCUCGGUCCCGCGCAUCUCCGCCCUUCGCGGGCGCGCGAAAUCGCCCUCCGGGGCGUUUCCGUGCGCGGGCCGCCGGGCCGCGGGCGCCAGUCGCCCGCGCGUCCCGCCGGGCCGGUUUUCGGGACCGGAGGUAAUGAUCAACAGAGACGGGCGGGGGCAUUCGUACCGAGACGUUAGAGGUGAAAUUCUUGGAUCGUCUCGAGACGAACUGACGCGAAAGCAUUUGCCAAGUACGUUCUCGUAUGAUCAAGAACGAAAGUUAGAGGUUCGAAGGCGAUCAGAUACCGCCCUAGUUCUAACUGUAAACGAUGCCAGCUAGCGAUCCGCCGGCGUUUCAUUAACGACCCGGCGGGCAGCUUCCGGGAAACCGAAGCUUUUCGGUUCCGGGGGAAGUAUGAUUGCAAAGUUGAAACUUAAAGGAAUUGACGGAAGGGCACCACCAGGAGUGGAGCCUGCGGCUUAAUUUGACUCAACACGGGAAACCUCACCAGGCCCGGACACCGGAAAGAUUGACAGAUUGAGAGCUCUUUCUUGAUUCGGUGGGUGGUGGUGCAUGGCCGUUCUUAGUUGGUGGAGCGAUCUGUCUGGUUAAUUCCGAUAACGAACGAGACUCUGUCCUGCUAACUAGGCGGGUAAACCCGGGUCGGCGUGUGCGCGGCGCUGGCGGUUUCGGCCGUCAGUGUUCGCGUACCCGUCGGCUCGGCCCGGUAUCCCCGAACGCGUUCGCCCGUCGUCCACGGCGGUCGUCGGGCGCGGCCGCGCCAUCCGCGUCCCGGCGUUCGGCGGGCGUAUGUCGGCCGGGGGGCAACCUCCGGUCGGCCUGCGUCCGUCGUGCGUCGGGCUCCGUGGUGAAGCGCGCCGUGUUCGCGGCCGUCGCCGGCGGAUCACGAUACGUUACUAGGGCUACCGCCGGCUCCCAGGAGCUUAAACUCUUCUUAGAGGGACAGGCGGCGGACGAACAUAGCCGCACGAGACUGAGCGAUAACAGGUCUGUGAUGCCCUUAGAUGUUCUGGGCCGCACGCGCGCUACACUGAAGGAAUCAGCGUGUUUAACAAUCCUGGGCCGACAGGCUUCCGGGUAACCCGCUGAACCUCCUUCGUGCUUAGGGAUCGUGGCUUGCAAUUUUUCCACGUGAACGAGGAAUUCCCAGUAAGCGCGAGUCAUCAGCUCGCGUUGAUUACGUCCCUGCCCUUUGUACACACCGCCCGUCGCUACUACCGAUUGAACGGUCGCAUUGAGGUCUUCGGAGUGGACGCGCGUUAUUCGGCCCCCUCGGGGGCUGGGUCGUCGCGCGAUCGCGAAGAUGACCGAAAUCGGCCGUUUAGAGGAAGUAAAAGUCGUAACAAGGUUUCCGUAAGUGAACCUGCGGAAGGAUCAUUA
rnacentral:ncRNA from 1 species